GACGAGUCUCACGAACGUUAUUCGGAAUUACUGGGCUUAAAGGGUGCGUAGGCGGUGGAGUAAGUCGGAUGUGAAAUACCUUAGCUUAACUAGGGAACUGCACUCGAUACUACUUUGCUAGAGUAAGACAGAGGUGAGUGGAACUGAGGGUGGAGCGGUGAAAUGCGUUGAUAUCCUCAGGAACACCGGUGGCGAAGGCGACUCACUGGGUCUUUACUGACGCUGAUGCACGAAAGCUAGGGGAGCAAACAGG
rnacentral:rRNA from 1 species